AAAUUGAAGAGUUUGAUCAUGGCUCAGAUUGAACGCUGGCGGCAGGCCUAACACAUGCAAGUCGAACGGUAACAGGAAGCAGCUUGCUGCUUCGCUGACGAGUGGCGGACGGGUGAGUAAUGUCUGGGAAACUGCCUGAUGGAGGGGGAUAACUACUGGAAACGGUAGCUAAUACCGCAUAACGUCGCAAGACCAAAGAGGGGGACCUUCGGGCCUCUUGCCAUCGGAUGUGCCCAGAUGGGAUUAGCUUGUUGGUGGGGUAACGGCUCACCAAGGCGACGAUCCCUAGCUGGUCUGAGAGGAUGACCAGCCACACUGGAACUGAGACACGGUCCAGACUCCUACGGGAGGCAGCAGUGGGGAAUAUUGCACAAUGGGCGCAAGCCUGAUGCAGCCAUGCCGCGUGUAUGAAGAAGGCCUUCGGGUUGUAAAGUACUUUCAGCGGGGAGGAAGGGAGUAAAGUUAAUACCUUUACUCAUUGACGUUACCCGCAGAAGAAGCACCGGCUAACUCCGUGCCAGCAGCCGCGGUAAUACGGAGGGUGCAAGCGUUAAUCGGAAUUACUGGGCGUAAAGCGCACGCAGGCGGUUUGUUAAGUCAG
rnacentral:rRNA from 1 species